GUUGUUUGCGUUGUUUGCGUUGUUCUUCUUGACAUGUCAACCAAUUUUCUGCCGUAUGUUUCCGUCUCUCUGGAGGUUGUUUGCGUUGUUUGCGUUGUUCUUCUUGACAUGUCAACCAAUUUUCUGCCGUAUGUUUCCGUCUCUCUGGAGGUUGUUUGCGUUGUUUGCGUUGUUUGCGUUGUUCUUCUUGACAUGUCAACCAAUUUUCUGCCGUAUGUUUCCGUCUCUCUGGAGGUU
rnacentral:lncRNA from 1 species